UACGUAGGUGGCAAGCGUUGUCCGGAUUUACUGGGCGUAAAGGGCGUGCAGGCGGUUUGUUAAGUGCAGGGUGAAAGCUCCCGGCUCAACUGGGAGAGGUCCUUGCAUACUGGCAAACUCGAGGGAGGCAGAGGAAAGUGGAAUUCCCGGUGUAGUGGUGAUAUGCGUAGAUAUCGGGGAGGAACACCUGUGGCGAAGGCGGCUUUCUGGGCCUUACCUGACGCUGAGA
rnacentral:rRNA from 1 species